CAGAUGGCGGAACCAAGUCGUGUUUGCGUCCAUGUGCGAGGGGAUGCCGCCGACUACAUGCCUCAAUGAGCUACGACAGGGCAUUGCAGCCUUAUUUUCAGCUCACUACUGAACUUGUGACCGCCGUGAGAAUAGGAUUUCAGCUGCCGGCCACGGACGAAGAAAACACAUGUUCACGAAAACACGGACAUCAAACUUGGAGGAAGCACAAGCAAGAGUGGAGCAGCCGCGGGCGCAACAUCAUCAGCAACAACCUGUCUUCCUGACGGGAACAACAGCAGAAAACACAUGUUCACGAAAACACGGACAUCAAACUUGGAGGAAGCACAAGCAAGAGUGGAGCAGCCGGG